rnacentral:rRNA from 1 species
UACGUAGGGGGCAAGCGUUGUCCGGAUUUAUUGGGCGUAAAGAGCGUGUAGGCGGCCUGAAAGGUCAGCUGUGAAAACUCGAGGCUCAACCUCGAGACGUCGGUUGAAACCAUCUGGCUAGAGUCCGGAAGAGGAGUGUGGAAUUCCCGGUGUAGCGGUGAAAUGCGCAGAUAUCGGGAAGAACACCCGUGGCGAAGGCGGCACUCUGGGCAUUAACUGACGCUGAGGAGCGAAAGCAUGGGGAGCGAACAGG